UACCAGCACCCCGAGUGGUCGGGAUGAUUAUUGGGCCUAAAGCAUCCGUAGCCGGUUCUACAAGUCUUCCGUUAAAUCCACCUGCUCAACAGUUGGGCUGCGGGAGAUACUGUAGGACUAGGAGGCGGGAGAGGCGAGGGGUAUUCCUUGGGUAGGGGUAAAAUCCUCUGAUCCAUGGAGGACCACCAGUGGCGAAGGCGUCUCGCCAGAACGCGCUCGACGGUGAGGGAUGAAAGCUGGGGGAGCAAACCGG
rnacentral:rRNA from 1 species